AUUGAACGCUGGCGGCAUGCCUUACACAUGCAAGUCGAACGGUAACAGGUCUUCGGAUGCUGACGAGUGGCGAACGGGUGAGUAAUACAUCGGAACGUGCCCGAUCGUGGGGGAUAACGGAGCGAAAGCUUUGCUAAUACCGCAUACGAUCUACGGAUGAAAGCAGGGGACCGCAAGGCCUUGCGCGGACGGAGCGGCCGAUGGCAGAUUAGGUAGUUGGUGGGAUAAAAGCUUACCAAGCCGACGAUCUGUAGCUGGUCUGAGAGGACGACCAGCCACACUGGGACUGAGACACGGCCCAGGCUCCUACGGGAGGCAGCAGUGGGGAAUUUUGGACAAUGGGCGAAAGCCUGAUCCAGCCAUGCCGCGUGCAGGAUGAAGGCCUUCGGGUUGUAAACUGCUUUUGUACGGAACGAAAAGACUCCUUCUAAUAAAGGGGGUCCAUGACGGUACCGUAAGAAUAAGCACCGGCUAACUACGUGCCAGCCGCCGCCGUAACAC
rnacentral:rRNA from 1 species